AAUAUAGCAGCAGGAGCACAUGAAGAGGCUAGUCAUCGUGUUGGAUCCGACGAGAGACAACCACUUCUUCCAACUUAAAGUUUUAGGGAGGAGGGAAUUUGUUUUGGUAGGGACCCAGGUAUUGUUGGAUAGUGACAGAGAUAAACCAGUUUUCGCUCGAGACGUUUAAUGGAAUUGAAAGAAAUUUGUAAAAUGAGAAACCCUUAAAUUGUGGUCAUUUGUUAUAAUUUUCGUUCAUGGGUCUGAAUGGAUGCUUGGUAGAGGAAGUGCAGUGGUAUUGGCUCGGCUUGUUGCGGAGUUCUUCCUGAUUUCUGCCUAGCCUCCACUCCACACUGCCUUUUCAGAAAAAUGUAUGAUGUGGCGUUAUUUGUUUUAUUUCGACAACAUACAGAUUACAGGGAGACGGCGAGCAAUUUUUGUUUGUUUAUUCGGUUGUUAUUUAUCUUUUUUAAAAGGUAAACAGUCUUUUUUGUUUGUCAUCAAAUUUAAAAAAAAAAAAUCGAGUCACUUAUAUGUUAAA